UUCUGUAAAAAAGCUACUUCAACUUAAUGAAAAACGGUGUCGUUUAAUUACACUUUCGGCAUUUUCUCGCGCCUUUUCUCAUUAACCCUUUCCUCAAAGUCAAAACGGACGCUUUACAUAGACACUACCUGGGUCGACAACCUGUUCGAGAAAAUGCCCCAAUCAUUUGAACCAACAGCAUAUCAGUAGCGGACUUUUUUGGGCCUGGAUAUGGAAGUGGCGCACUGCUAUCUUGACGGCAAUGCAGAUGCGGUAGAGUUUUGUCCGCAUGACUUGCACCGCCACGUUUUAGCUGCCGCAACUUACACGCUGCAAGAGGGCGAUCGGCCGAGCCGAUCUGGAAGCAUUUCGCUCUUCGAUGUUGAUGCUGAUGACGGCCGCUUUGAUUUGUUUCAUCGCGUGGAAACGGCAGGGAUCUUUGAUAUUAAGUGGAAUCCCGUUGGAGGCGCGGUAGACAGGCCAAUGCUUGCACAAGCCGAUGCUGAUGGGUGCUUGAGAAUUCAUGACUUAGAGUGCUCUUCAGAUGGAGAAAAAGGGGGCGUUCUAAGAGAGAUCAGUGGUGAGAAAAUCAGCUCCUCUAUGUGCCUUUGCUUGGAUUGGAAUCCAUCAGCCACAUCCAUCUCGGUUGGACUUUCAAAUGGUUCUGUCUCAAUAGUCUCCUUCUCAGAGUCACAACUCGAUGUAAGUCAAGAAUGGAAAGCUCAUGAUUUUGAGCUAUGGGCUACUUCCUUUGAUAUGCACCAACCACAAUUGGUGUACACUGGCUCGGAUGACUGCAAAUUCAGUUGUUGGGAUUUGCGGGAUAGUCCUCCAAACAUGGCAUUUCAGAAUUCGAAGGCUCAUAAGAUGGGUGUUUGCUGCAUUGCAAAGUGUCCUAGUAAUCCUAAUACUUUAGUUACUGGUAGUUAUGAUGAGUAUCUAAGACUUUGGGAUGUAAGAUCAAUCUCAAAACCAGUAAACGAGACCUCAAUUCAUUUAGGUGGAGGAGUUUGGAGAGUCAAGCACCACCCAUACAUUCCAGGUCUGGUCUUGGCAGCUUGUAUGCAUAACGGGUUUGCAAUUGUAAAGAUUGAAGAUGACAAAGGCGAACUAAUUGAAACUUACGGAAAACAUGGCUCACUUGCUUAUGGGGCUGAUUGGCAAAGGAGAGAAUUGGCUCAAGAGGACAAGCAGAAGAGCAAUGUGGUGGCUACUUGUUCCUUCUAUGAUCGGCUUCUGCGGGUAUGGAUGCCAGGAAACAAUAAAGCACUAAAAAAAAUUGAGGUCGCCUUCUCUUCUUUAUUGUCAUUUGACUCAUUGCUAUCAUGUCUAAAAGAAAGUGGGGGAGAACAAGAUGGACAUAUCAUUGGUGUUGAAGUAGUCAAAAUUUUCAUUGAUGGAAUAUUUCAGUGAAUCUUCUCAGCGUCACUUAGCAUUUUUUAUGGUUGCUUAGCUUUGUUAACAUCUAAAUUUGGUUGAGGCUUUGACUUACUUUAGGGCAUUGCUAAACAAGUAGUUGCAGUCGGGAGGUUGUAUAGCUCAGCUGCUCAAAGUUGAGAGUUGAAUACAAAUCUAGGCAUCUAUUUUCCGUGGACAUUUAAUGACUAGCCGAGGAGAUUCUGGACUAGGUUGCACCCUGCAUCCUGGUGGGCCUGGUACCUGGUUCCUUUAUCACGAGGGCAUACUGUGCAUUGUGGGUGUUGCUUCCAUCUUUUCAUAUUAAUAAGGAUCGUGUAUAUAAUUUAAAAUUUUUAAUUAGAAAUGAGAUUUUAAAUAAUUGAUAGUAUAUAUUUUUUGCUA